GGAUACACAAGGAUACGAAAGUGAAAGUUCUUUAUCAAUCCCUGAAAACUCAACUGUUUCCACAAAGAAAAGAGGCCGCAUAGCAACUACAGGAAAAUCGAUAGAGAAAGCAAUUACUGAAAAUGUUAGUGUCUAUUGUUUGAUAUACAUUUCUCUUUUUUGUUACAUGUACCUAAUUAUAACUAUAUAUAUUCUUUUAUUUGUGAUUAGAAAGGACAAUUAUUAGAAAUUGAGUUUCCUGAAGGUUUUAAAAAGCCACGUCAAUUUGCUAAUCACUUAGCAACUGGAAUUGGAGUUGUUAUUAGGCACAGUCCUGAACUUGAUUGUAUGAGUAACUGGAGUGACCUUGCAGAACACGAAAAGCUACCUAUUUAUGCUGGAUUAGAUACAUGGUUUAAUAUCAAAGGAUGGGGAAAUAAUCCAGUAGUUCAAAGUUAUAUGGAGGAGAUGUUCCAAAAAAGUUAUACGCAUUGGAAAGGUCGAUUAUCAGGAGCUUAUAAACGUAUGAUUGAAGAAGAAAAAGAUCCCAAGGCUUGUAGUCCGUUUGAUUGGAUAGAACUUCGAAAAUGGCGUACUUUGUGUGAUUACUAUGAAACUGAAAAUUUCAAGGUAUUAUUACAAUUGGUUUGAUAUAUAAAUAUCAUUUUGUGAAUUGUGUUAAAACUUUUAGUAAGAUUUUAACUUUUACUAUACUCAUACUUCAGGUUCAAAAUCAUUUCAUACACGGCUAUUGCAAAUGGAAAAUCAAAGCUACGUGGAUAAUUUUGCCAUGACUCAUAAGAGAAAUGGUACUUUUGUGAAUGAGAAGGCUGCAGAUGUACAUGUUGAAAUGGAAAAUAUGAGGAAUGAACUAAAUCAAAAUGAAAGUAUAACUUCUGAGCGGGAAAUUGUAAAUAAGGUACUUGGUAAACGAUCUGGAUAUGAGAAGGGCUUGGGGUAUGGAGUUGUGCCUUCUAAAUGUUCGAAGAGGUCAACAUGUGAAUCUUCACAAUUGAAGACAGUUCAAGAAAAGUUGAGUGUUA